UGGCUCUGGCAUCGAUGAAGAACGCAGCGAAAUGCGAUAAGUAGUGUGAAUUGCGGAAUUCAGUGAAUCAUCGAAUCUUUGAACGCACAUUGCGCCCACCGGCACGCCGGUGGGCAUGCCUGUCCGAGCGUCAUCGCAACACUUUUGGGUCGUCGGCCCAGCGUUGGGGCUCCACAAUCGUGGUCCCUAAAAGCGAUCGGUUAGGCGACGGUGUCCUCUAAGCGUAGUAGUUACUUCUUCUCGCUCCUGCUAGGCACCGUGGCGCUCGCCGUGAGACCAUCUCCACGCAAAAUGACCUCGGAUCAGGUAGGGCUACCCGCUGA
rnacentral:misc_RNA from 1 species